GACGCAACUGUCCGAUAUAUACGUAAAAGAAGCAAAGGCGAAAAAUAAUAAAUAAAAUAAUAUAUAAAACUUAAUGCCGAUUCAAGCUACGUGCGCGGAUUUAAGUGAGUGUAAUUGAACCGAAAGUACAAGUUGCAGACACGAAAUACGAAAUACGAAUUUCGCCAGCUACAGAUGCAGAUACAUUUGGAAUAGAGUCGAGUCGAAGGGCGCGUGUGGCUGGCACGCGUCGCAUGCCGCUAUUGCCAAACCCCAACAGAA